rnacentral:rRNA from 2 species
AGUGGGGAAUAUUGGACAAUGGGCGAAAGCCUGAUCCAGCCAUGCCGCGUGUGUGAAGAAGGUCUUCGGAUUGUAAAGCACUUUAAGUUGGGAGGAAGGGUUGUAGAUUAAUACUCUGCAAUUUUGACGUUACCGACAGAAUAAGCACCGGCUAACUCUGUGCCAGCAGCCGCGGUAAUACAGAGGGUGCAAGCGUUAAUCGGAAUUACUGGGCGUAAAGCGCGCGUAGGUGGUUUGUUAAGUUGGAUGUGAAAGCCCCGGGCUCAACCUGGGAACUGCAUUCAAAACUGACAAGCUAGAGUAUGGUAGAGGGUGGUGGAAUUUCCUGUGUAGCGGUGAAAUGCGUAGAUAUAGGAAGGAACACCAGUGGCGAAGGCGACCACCUGGACUGAUACUGACACUGAGGUGCCGAAAGCGUGGGGAGCAAACAGGAUUAGAUACCCUGGUAGUCCACGCCGUAAACGAUGUCAACUAGCCGUUGGGGACCUUGAGUCUUUAGUGGCGCAGCUAACGCAUUAAGUUGACCGCCUGGGGAGUACGGCCGCAAGGUUAAAACUCAAAU